rnacentral:rRNA from 1 species
CACGUAGGAUCCAAGCGUUGUCCGGAUUUACUGGGUGUAAAGGGUGCGCAGGCGGAUGGGUAAGUCAGAGGUGAAAGUCUGCAGCUUAACUGUAGAAUUGCCUUUGAUACUGCUUAUCUUGAGUUUGGGAGAGGUUGAUGGAAUUCCAGGUGUAGCAGUGAAAUGCGUAGAUAUCUGGAAGAACACCAGUGGCGAAGGCGGUCAACUGGCCCAUAACUGACGCUCAUGCACGAAAGCGUGGGGAGCAAAC